rnacentral:rRNA from 1 species
CAUGUAGGCGGUAUAACAAGUCUGGUGUGAAAUAUCUCGGCUCAACCGAGAAAACGCACUGGAAACUGUUAAACUAGAGUAUAGGAAGGGAAGCUAGAAUUCCAGGUGUAGGGGUGAAAUCUGUAGAUAUCUGGAAGAAUACCGGUGGCGAAGGCGAGCUUCUGGCCAUAUACUGACGCUGAUAUGCGAAAGCGUGGGGAGCGAACAGGAUUAGAUACCCUGGUAGUCC